CCUACGGGAGGCAGCAGUGAGGAAUAUUGGUCAAUGGGCGCGAGCCUGAACCAGCCAAGCCGCGUGAGGGAAGAAGGUCCUGUGGAUUGUAAACCUCUUUUGUCGGGGAGCAAAAGCCGCGACGUGUGCCCGUCUGAGUGUACCUGAAGAAAAAGCAUCGGCUAACUCCGUGCCAGCAGCCGCGGUAAUACGGAGGAUGCGAGCGUUAUCCGGAUUUAUUGGGGUUAAAGGGUGCGCAGGCGGAAGAUUAAGUCAGCGGUAAAAUUGAGGGGCUCAACCUCUGCGAGCCGUUGAAACUGGGUUUCUUGAGUGAGCGAGAAGUAUGCGGAAUGCGUGGUGUAGCGGUGAAAUGCAUAGAUAUCGCGCAGAACUCCGAUUGCGAAGGCAGCAUACCGGCGCUCCACUGACGCUCAUGCACGAAAGUGUGGGUAUCGAACAGGAUUAGAUACCCUAGUAGUC
rnacentral:rRNA from 1 species